rnacentral:rRNA from 1 species
UACGAGGGGAGCGAGUGUUGUUCGGAUUUAUUGGGCGUAAAGGGAGUGUAGGUGGGAAUCUAAGUCAGAGGUGGAAUCCCGGGGCUCAACCCCGGACUUGCCUUUGAGACUGGAUUUCUUGAGUAUGGGAGAGGGCGAUAGAAUUCCUGGUGUAGCGGUGGAAUGCGUAGAUAUCAGGAGGAAUACCAAUAGCGAAGGCAGUCGCCUGGAACAAUACUGACACUGAAACUCGAAAGCGUGGGGAG